rnacentral:rRNA from 1 species
UGGGGAAUCUUGCGCAAUGGGCGAAAGCCUGACGCAGCCAUGCCGCGUGAAUGAUGAAGGUCUUAGGAUUGUAAAGUUCUUUUCGCCCGUGACGAUGAUGACGGUAACGGGAGAAGAAGCCCCGGCUAACUUCGUGCCAGCAGCCGCGGUAAUACGAAGGGGGCUAGCGUUGUUCGGAAUUACUGGGCGUAAAGCGCGCGUAGGCGGUUUUUUAAGCCAGAUGUGAAAUCCCCGGGCUCAACCUGGGAACUGCAUUUGGAACUGGAAGACUAGAGUGUAGCAGAGGGGGGUAGAAUUCCACGUGUAGCAGUGAAAUGCGUAGAUAUGUGGAGGAAUACCAAUGGCGAAGGCAGCCCCCUGGGUUAACACUGACGCUCAUGCACGAAAGCGUGGGGAGCAAACAGGAUUAGAUACCCCAGUAGUCCCUGAGCGGGCUGGCAAGGCGCAU